CUGUGGAGCGAAAGCGUGGGGAGCGAACAGGAUUAGAUACCCUGGUAGUCCACGCCGUAAACGUUGGGAACUAGGUGUUGGCGACAUUCCACGUCGUCGGUGCCGCAGCUAACGCAUUAAGUUCCCCGCCUGGGGAGUACGGCCGCAAGGCUAAAACUCAAACCAAUUGACGGGGGCCCGCACAAGCAGCGGAGCAUGUGGCUUAAUUCGACGCAACGCGAAGAACCUUACCAAGGCUUGACAUAUACCGGAAACGGCCAGAGAUGGUCGCCCCCUUGUGGUCGGUAUACAGGUGGUGCAUGGCUGUCGUCAGCUCGUGUCGUGAGAUGUUGGGUUAAGUCCCGCAACGAGCGCAACCCUUGUUCUGUGUUGCCAGCAUGCCCUUCGGGGUGAUGCGGACUCACAGGAGACUGCCGGGGUCAACUCGGAGGAAGGUGGGGUCGACGUCAAGUCAUCAUGCCCCUUAUGUCUUGGGCUGCACACGUGCUACAAUGGCCGGUACAAAGAGCUGCGAUGCCGUGAGGCGGAGCGAAUCUCAAAAAGCCGGUCUCA
rnacentral:rRNA from 1 species